GAUGAACGCUGGCGGCGUGCCUAAUACAUGCAAGUCGAGCGAACGGACGAGAAUCUUGCUUCUCUGAUUUUAUCGCCGGACGGGUGAUUAACCCUUGUUUAACCUACCUUUAAGUCUGGGAUAACUUCGGGAAACCUUAUCUAAUACCGGAUAAUAUUUUGAACCUCAUGUUUCAAUAGUGAAAUACGUUUUUUCUGUCUCUUAUAGAUUUAUCCCCGCUGCAUUAGCUAGUUGGUAAGGUAACGGCUUACCAAGGCAACGAUGCGUAGCCGACCUGAGAGGGUGAUCGGCCACACGGGAACUGAGACACGGACCAGACUCCUACGGGAGGCAGCAGUAGGGAAUGUUCCGCAAUGGGCGAAAGCCUGACGGAGCAAAGCCGCGUGAGUGAUGAAGGUCUUCGGAUCGUAAAACUCUGUUAUUAGGGAAGAACAAAUGUGUAAGUAACUGUGCACAUCUUGACGGUACCUAAUCAGAAAGCCACGGCUAACUACGUG
rnacentral:rRNA from 1 species